AAUGUCUCUCUUAUAAAAGAAGUAGAAGUUUCUCAAAUUGAUUACCAUCAGUAGCUUCUCAGGAGAUCUACAUUUCAAUCAGCUGAUGAAACAGAUGUGGGAGGAUUGUCAUGAGCUCUGCUUCUGAAAUCUUAAAGAAGCAACUACAGGUUACUGGGUGGAAAAGCAGUCAUCUUUUUAAAAUAUACAUCC